GGGAAUUGUUAUAGACAACAAACUAUGCAACAAUGUGCAAUGUCAAUCAGCAGUGGCCAAGGCCAGUAAGGUAUUGUCAUGCAUGAAAAAGGGCAUUCAUUCUCGGGACAAGAAUAUAAUUUUGCCUCUUUAUAAAUCACUGGUAAGACCCCAUAUUGAAUAUGCAAUUUUGGGCACCUGUUCUAAAGAAGGAUAUUAUGGCACUAGAAAAAGUGCAGAGGCGGGCUACAAAAUUAAUAAAAGGAAUGGAACAUAUCGGCUAUGAAGAAAGGUUAACAAAUUUAAACCUAUUUAGUUUAGAAAAACGUCGCCUGAGAGGGGAUAUGAUAACAUUAUACAAAUAUAUUCGGGGCCAA